UACAGAGACUGCAAGCGUUGUUCGGAUUCAUUGGGCGUAAAGGGUCCGUAGGCGGUCGGUUAAGUCGGAUGUGAAAUCUCGUGGCCUAACCACGAGCGGUCAUUCGAAACUAAUCGGCUAGAGGGCUGGAGAGGAGACUGGAAUUGUCGGUGUAGCGGUGAAAUGCGUAGAGAUCGACAAGAACACCGGUGGCGAAGGCGGGUCUCUGGGCCAUUACUGACACUGAGAAGCGAAAGCAUGGGGAGCGAACAGG
rnacentral:rRNA from 1 species